CCAGAAAUUAUGGGAACAAUCUAAGUGUCCUUAACUGGUGCGUGGCUAAACAAACUUGGUCCAUCAAUACCAUGAAAUAAGUAUUACUUAGUAGUAAAAGGGGACAGACUGAUACACACAACAACAUGCGUGAAUCCCAAAUGCAUUAUGCUAAAUGUAAGAAGACCAGACUCAAAGGCCUGUUUGAAUCAUUUAUAGGACAAUCUGGAAAAGACACAACUAGGACAGAAAACACCAGUUGUUGCCAGGGACUGGAGAUAGAGGGGAAGGCUAUCUCCAAAGAGGCACAGAAGAGGUCCAAUGCUUUACCAGAUGGCCAAAGGGACUCAUGGCACAAAACACUUAAGCAUUUCGAAGGUGAAUGGAUAAAGAAGAUGUGGUGUAUACACACAAGGGAAUAUUAUUAAGCCUUACAAAGGAAGGAGAUCCUGCGAUAUGGGACAACAUGGCUGAAUCUGGAGGACACUAUGCUAAAUAAAAUAAACCAUCACAAAAGGACAAAUACUGCAUGAUUCCACUUAUAUGAGGUAUCCAAACUAGCCAAACUCAUAGAAGCAGAGCAUAGAAUGGUGGUUGCCAGGGUCAGGAGAGAGGAGGAAAUUGGGAGUUGUUAUUUAAUGGGAAAAGAGUUGCAGUUAUGCAUGAUGAAUAAGUUCUAGAGAUCUUCUGUAUGACAUUGUG